rnacentral:tRNA from 1 species
GGGCUGUUGGCUCAGUUGGUAGAGCGUCCGCUUCGCAGUAACCUUCGGGUGAAGAUUGCGGAAGGUCUGGGGUUCGAUUCCCCAAUAGUCCA